GAUGCCUUCACCUUUAACCAUAGAUAUAAGGUUUUAGUCUUGAAAAUGGAAAAUAAGAUGCUUCCGGUUUAUUGUGCAUGAACAAGUCUGAAUUAGUCGAGCCUGAAACCCAGCGGAAAAAAAAGGAAACAAAACAGGUCGGUACGCUUGAGUUAGUUUAAUAAUCAAAAAGAAACCUAAAGUAAUAAAUCCCUUAGUGGAAUAAUCUCAACAACUUUAUUAUGAUGGAGUGUUUGAUUUUUUUUUUACUGUUGAAAUUCCUGUUUAGCCAUUUACUUUAGCUUCUCUCUGAAUCACCUCGUGUACUAUUUCACACAGCUUCGUCUUGGCAGGUUUGUUGAAAUUUAAAGAUCUUAAGAACUAGUCCGGCUUGACUAGUAAAAGCUACAGACAUGGAAAGAGGAAAUGGAGGAGAAAAAGGGGAAGUGGAAGCAAACAUAUCAUCGAGCUCCCAGGUUAAAAAGUCAGCCCUCAACAUUAAGGAAUAUGUUACAUAAUUGAUGGGAGAAGACAAGUAUGAGGUAGACUACACAGUGGGCGAGAGCAUAAUAAGUUCUGGUCGCGGUUUCAAUCGCUAGAGACUUUAUGUUAGUGGGAACUCAUCAUGAUCAUCUUAAUUAACUGCCUGUUAAUUUAGAGCAUACUUAGGUCUUAGAUCUAUAUCUCCAAACAAGUUUGAGGUACACUGCGGAGAAAUGGAUUCAUCUUAGGUCCAUACCUCCAGGCAAAUCUCUAUUAGUAUAUUACAUUAACUUCUUUCCUACCCGUUGGGGCUUCAAGUGUUGGAUCUAUCAUCACACACUUAUGCCUUCUUCAAGAUAUUUCAGUUCAUUUCCCAUUAAGCACUGUUUUUCCCAUCUGAUUCUUCUUUUAGCAGAUGCUUAUUUUUACAUAGAAAUUGAUGAAUGAUCAAAAUGGAAUUUUGACUGACAAAUUGUUUCUUAUCCUUUGGUUGACAUAUUAUUUUGUUGUUGUUACAGAUCCUUUUUCUUGAAUGCGUUAUAAUUCUUCCUCUAGUUUUGUUUUCUCUUCCUAUCUUAUAUAUGUGUUACAUGAGUUGGGAGUCUUUUGCAAACAAGCUUUCUACCUCCAUGAAAUAGAGUUGAGGUCUGUGUACACUCUAUCCUUCCUAUACCCCACUUGUGUGAUUAUAGAGUAUCUUGUUGUUGUUGCACUAUCCUUUCAGGAUGAAUCUUCUCUUCCUUUUGCCUCACAAAAGUGUCAACAAGAGUGGACUAUUUGUAAUUCUUUACAUUGCCAGUGCCCAAAACAUUAACUCUUUAUAUAUGGUCGUUGAACGUUACUUAUGAUAGUAGUAAAGUCACAACUAUUGUUUGCCACAUUAAAGUAACUAAACUUGUUAAAAUAUCUCUCAAGCACUCUCACACACACAUAUAACUGCCAUUCCAGCAGUUACUGAGCUCGAUAAGAAGAAGGAAAAGAAGAGAGAGGAUGAUCUAAGAUUGAAACUUGUAUGUUAGUUAUGUACAAUGUGAGUUCAUGCCACCUAUUUAUAGACUCACAUGACUAAAAUGUGAUUAUCUAGAAGAUUCGUAACAAAUUCCUAACAACUUAAUCAAGUGGCCAGCUCACUAACCAACUUGACACACCUAACAGACUCGACUAACAAGCAAUGCAAUAGAGUUAACUAACAGUGUUAAUCAACUGUUAACUAAUUAAUAUAACAGAAAGUAUGAAUACUGAAUAUUGAUACUAUAAGUUUUGACACUCCUCCUCAAGCUACAGGGUGCAAAAUGUUGAGCACACCAAGCUUUCUUAGGAGAUGUAAGUGUUGAUCAUGACUCAAGCCCUUUGUGAGGAUAUCUGCAACCUGUUGAUUUAUCUGCACAUACAUGGGUUGAACCAACCCUUCCUUGAUCUUAUCUCUAAUAAAGUGGCAGUCCACCUAAAUAUGUUUGGUCCUCUCAUGGAAUAUGGGGCUAGCAGCUAGCUGAAUAGCUGAAUUGCUAUCAGUAAAGAUGAUAAUAAUUUUAGUUAUAGGGAUCCCUAAUUCUACAAACAGUCCAUCCAACCAUGUUACUUCUACCAAAGCUUAGGCCAUGCUCCUAUAUUCUACCUAAACUGAGCUUCUGGAGAUAGUGUUCUAUUUUUUGGACUUCUAGGAUAUCAAUAAACCACCAAACUGCACCAUAUAGCCUAUAACAGACCUCUUAGUAUUUGGACAUGCAGCGCAAUUUGAGUCACACCAACAAACAAACUCUGUAGUAGGUUGUUCCUGGAGCCAUAUACCUUGUCCUACAAUUUCGUUUAGAUAUCUUAUCACCCUGUUUGCUGCCUCCAAAUUUUAUUUUUUAGGUUGUUACAUGAACUGACUUACUAUUUGUACUUCAUAACUGAUAUCAAGUUUUGUUAUUCUUGCAUACAACAAUUUUCCAACAAGUCUUUGAUACGAUGUUAUAUCCCUUAGAAUAAUAUCUCCUUUAACACCUGCUGCUUCAUUCACUUUAACAAAGGUUAGCUUGAUAUUAAUAUCUAAUGGAGUAAGAUAUGGCUUAGCACCAACAAGCCCUAUGUCAGAUGUAAGCUCCAAUAUAUAUUUUCUUUGGUUCAAUAUUACUCUACUUGCAGACCUCAACACUUUAAUGCCUAAGAAGUCCUUAAGCUCACCUAGAUCCUUAAGUAUAAAUUGCUGAUGGAGAGUAACUUUUGUUGCAUUAAUCAUGUUUGUAUUAUCCCCUAUUAUUAGAAGAUCAUCUACAUAAACUAAAACCACCACCAUACCUUUUGACUUCUUUAAGGUAAAGCGUGAAUAAUCAUAUCUGCUCAGAGAGAAUGCUGUAUUGAGCAAUGCUGCAGUAGGCUUUAUAUUCCACUGCCUUGAUACUUGGUUAAGUCCAUACAAUGACUUGAUUAAUCUUCAAACUUUGAGUUACUUCCCUCCAAGAAACCAUCUGGCAUUUCCAUAUACACUUUCUCAUCUAAAUCACCUUGUAGAAAAGCAUUAUAGACAUCCAUUUGGUACAUACACCACCCUUUUGAUACAGCUAAAGUAAUAAAAUUUCUCACUAUAACCAUUUUUGCUAUGGGAGAGAAUGUGUCAUGGUAAUCUAGUCCCUCCUGUUGGCUGUAACCCUUGGCGACCAACCUUUCCUUAAACCUUUCUACUUCUCCAUUAGCAUUGUACUUGAUCUUGUAGACCCAUUUUGAUCCAAUUAUAUUCUUGUCCAGAGGAAUAUCAACUACCUCCUAAGUAUGAUUUUCUUCAAGAUCUUUAACCUUCUAUUUCAUAGCUUUAAUCCACCUCUUAUCUCCGCCAGCUUCAUUAUAAGAUUGUGGUUCUACUUUUGUUGAUAGACUGGACAUAAAACUUUGGUAUCUUGAACUAGUAUUAGCAUAAGAUAGAUAGUUUUCCAUAGGAUAUCUGGUUUCUCUUUUUCCCUAGUAAUGCAUAGUCCAACAACCAAACAAGUUGUUUGAUGACUCUAGAUGAUUUUCUUGGAGCAACUUCUGCAGGUGAUAAGGAUGGCUCAUCUUUGCUGGUGAAGUUAUGAGUGUCUUCAUCUUGGAUACUGUUAAGAUUAUGUGGUGAUGUACUUUUCUCUUGUGGAUCAUAUGAUUGAUUAUCAGGAUCUGUGUAAGUAUCUACUUCUAUUACUGCAUUAGUAUGAUAAGAUAAACUCAGCUUAAGGAAAUCAACAGUUGAUUCUGAGCUUGGGUACUCUACAAAAAGGAAUGAAUCAUGUUUGAACACUGCAUCUCUUAUGACAAACAAUUUGUUAGUACACCAAUCCGACAAUAUAUAACCCUUCUGAGUGGUAGAAUAACCCUUCAAUACUGCAACUUUAGCUCUUUUAGAGAGCUUAUCACCCUUUGGUAGUACUGAAGCAUAGCAUUUGCAUCCAAUAACUCUUAGGUGUGUUAGUGAUGGGACUUUACAGAAUAAUAUUUCAUAAGGACUUUCACCCUCAAUAGCUGAGGAUGGUAACCUUUUAAUAAGAUACACAAUAGCCUUAACAUUUAAUCCCUAAAGCUUCAUAGGCACCUGUGAUUGAAACCUAAUGGCUCUUGUGACAUUCAAUAUCUGUCUGUGUUGUCUCUCAACCACACUAUUUUAUUGUGGUGUGUAUGGGAAGAUACUUUGAUGUAUUAUUCCCAAGGUCUGAAACAACUCUGUACAUUUAGAAUUAAGGAACUCUUUCCCAUUAUCUAACCUUAAUAUUUUCACUUGAGCACUAAAUUGAUUCUGAAUUAGAGUAAAGAAGUUUUUUAUGGCUACAAUACACUCAGACUUUAAUUGUAGUAGAUGAAACCAUGUAUAUCUUCUAUGAUCAUCAACAAUAGUUAAAAACUAGUACUUCUUUUCAAAAGUAGGUGUCUUAUAAGGCCCCCAAGGAUCCAUCUGUACAAUAUCAAAACAUUUUGAAGAUCUAGAUAUACAGAGAGGAAAGAUUUGUCUAGUUUAUUUAGCUAAUGGAUAAAUAUAACACUUAUUUAGAAUAUGUACAUCACUACUGUGUCUUAAUAGAUUGAAAGUUCUUAAUGCCUGGGAAGAGGGAUGUCCCAGCCUCAUAUACCACAGACUGCACUCAUGCAUCUCUACUCCUGUAUCCUGCCCUUGAUGAGCCACAUUAUUGAUAAUUCUAUUCUCUCCACAUACAUUUUUGAGGAUGUAUAAUCUUUCUUUUUCCUUACCAAUCCCCUUCACCUUGCCACUAUAAAGGUUCUAAAGUACACAAAAGUCAAGAUAGAAUGAACCAAAACAAGAGAGUUUCCUAGUCAUUUUAGACACUCAUAACAAGUUCAGUUUAAAAUCUAGAACAUACAACACAUCCCUUACAACCUCUUCUUUCAGAACUUGUGCUUCUCCUACAUGUGAUAUAUCCACCUUGGCUCCAGUAGGUAGGUUUACUUAAUCACACAUUGUGUUGUCAAUUUUGUGAUAGUGUGAGAAUAUAUCCUUGUGUGCUACCACAUAAUGUAUGGCUCUAGAGCCUAUGAUCCAUUCAUAUGGAACAACAUGACUAAAAAAACAAGUAAUAGUACUUGUCAUAUUAGCUUUUUCUGAGUCAUUUGUCUCUUUGUUGAUCAAUGCUAUGAUCUGUCUAUAUUCAUCUUCUGAGAAACCUUAUCCCUUUAACAGACCAGCAUUGUUGUUCCCUUUACUUUCCUGGUUACCAGUUUGAUCAGCCAAGUAUGAUUUCUCUACUUGAGGUCUAAUAAAGUUAUGAGCUAAUGACUGGCUGGUAUUUUGACUAAUAGCUAAUUGUCCAUCUCUACCACCUCCACCACCUCCACCUUGACCAUUGUAGAGUUCUUGAUUUUAUACCCCCUUGGAUUGUUGUAGUUACUUAUUUUAUUGUUUCUCCAAUCACUUGGAUAUCCAUGCAAUUUGUAAUAGUUUUCUCUUGUGUGGCCAGUGAAGUUACAACAAUCAUAUCUUUUACCUUUUAAUCUUGGCUUCCAUAAUUGGUUGAUGCCUGAUUCCUAUUCCAAAUCUAGAAUUUGCAUAUUUUCUAUGUACUUGCAUAGGAAUAGGCUUAGUUUUAUGAAUAAUAUUUACAACACAAGCAAGUUGCUGGAUCUCAUCUUUAAUAAUCAUUGCAUAUUCUUGGUUAAGUGUAGGUGUUGUUCCCUUUAUCAAUAUAUGUCUAUUUACUUGGUCAUAUGUAUCAUUUAGUCCACUUAGGAAUUGUAUUAGCCUCAACUAAUCUAAGUGCUCUACAUACUCCUUAGACUUAGAACAAUUACAUGAUGGAGCUAGAAUAACCGCAUUAUGUUCACUCCACAAAUUCUUUAACUUAGUGAAGUAGGUUGAGACCGAGUCAGUGCCUUGGUGUAGGUUGUUGAUUUCCCUGUUCAAUUGGUACAAUCUCAUAUGAUUCACUUUGUCAAACCUCUUCUAAAGAUUUUCCCAUACCUCAUAGGCAUUUUUUCCAUACACAAUACCACUGAGUAACUGUUCACUUACUGAACUCAUCAGCCAUGAAAGAAAUACUGCAUUGAAUAUCUCCCAUUAAUCAUGUAAUUCCUCUCUGUAUGUGUUCUUUUUACAAGUACCAGUCACACAAACAUACUUCUUCUUUCCCAAUAGUCCAAUCUUCAUAGAUUUACACCAAAUUCCAUAAUUCUAUGAACCAGUCAACUUAAUGGGAAUCAAUGCAGCUCCUACUACAUCUGAUGCUCCUAGGCCACUAGGAUCAAUCUUAGGUGCCAUGUAUAUUUUGUAGGAUACAACUAUAUUGGAAUAAAAAUGUCAUAGAAAUCUCAAAAUACACCACUUGUAUAUAGAGAUCUAAACUCCUCUAAGCUCACUAGCUCACAAAUAGAAAUCACAGAUAGAAGGAACUCACUGUAUUAAAGAUGUAUUGACAUUCAAUUGUUAUUUCUCCAGUUCCAUGAUCGCGUGGAUUUGAUACCAUGGUAAAAUAUAUCUCAAUCACUCUCUCUCACAAACACUAAUACCAUUGCAGCAGUUACUGAGCUCGAUGAGAAGAAGGAGAAGAAGAGAGAAAAUGAGCUAAGAUUGAAACUUGUAUGUUAGUUACGUACAAUAUGAGUUCAUGCCACCUAUUUAUAGAUUCAUAUGACUAAAAUGUGAUUAUAUAGAAGCUUCCUAACAACUUAAUCAAGUGACCAGCUCACUAUCCUACUUGACACACUUAACAGACUCGACUAACAAACAAUGCAACAGUGUUAAGUAACAAUGUUAACCAACUGUUAACUAACUCAUAUAACAGAAAGUAUGAAUACUAAUUAUUGAUCCUAUAAGUUUUAACAGAAAUUUAUCCACUAUAAUGGUUACUAAACGUUAAUACUAUUGUAUACACGUCUUAGAUACAAGCAACUGAGAGUUCUUGAAUUCAACUUAUCUAGCAAAAACUAGACGGUUGUGCAAACUAAUUUUCCCUGCAUAUACUCUGGUAUUGCUUAGCAUACAGUUAUAGAAAAAGCCUAUAAUUCAGCAAAAUAGGAGUGCCCAAACUUAACUUUCAAUAUUACAAUUCAUAGUCUCCCUUUCGUUUUGUUUCUUUUUACUCUCUUUUC